rnacentral:rRNA from 1 species
CUAUACAUGACUCUGCGCAUAUCAAUAAGCGGAGGAAAAGAAACUAACAAGGAUUCCCUCAGUAACGGCGAGUGAAGCGGGAAGAGCUCAAAUUUGAAAUCUUCAAGGUUCUACCUUGACGAGUUGUAGUUUAAAGAAGUGUUUUCUGUUGGAGUUUCGGUAAAAGUUCUUUGGAAUAGGACAUCAUAGAGGGUGAGAAUCCCGUAUUUGACCAUUACUUUCCAACUUUGUGAUACACUUUCAAAGAGUCGGAUUGUUUGGGAAUGCAGUCCAAAAUGGGUGGUAAAUUUCAUCUAAAGCUAAAUAUUGGCGAGAGACCGAUAGCGAACAAGUACCAUGAGGGAAAGAUGAAAAGAACUUUGAAUAGAGAGUUAAACAGUACGUGAAAUUGUCAAAAGGGAAGCGUUUGACACCAGUGUUGUUUUUCCGAAAAUCAAUUAAGAAUGGCCGGAUUUUGUGUUGUAUUGACUUUAUCAGCUUUCUGCACUUUUUUCUUGUCUUUUUUAAUGCACUUUUCGUUUAACAAGUCAACAUCAAUUUCUUUUGUUGUAAAAGGGUAUGAGGAAGGUGGCUUUCUUUUCGGAGAAAGUGUUUAUAGCCUUGUGCCUCUGCAAUCGGAGAGAUUGAGGUCUGCAGCGUAGAUCCUUCGGGGUUAGAUACAGUUUGUGCUAAGUUAUAGCUUUUCAUAGACAACUUGUUGACUAUGUUUAGUCUUGUAGCUUACUCGCUUACGCUAUUUUACCUACGCUUAGGAUGUUGAAGAUAUGCGCGACACGACUCUAUACAUGACUCUGCGCAUAUCAAUAAGCGGAGGGAAAAGUCAACUACCUACGCUUAGGAUGUUGAAGAUAUGCGCGACAC